AUCUGGAGAGAGGCGCGACCGUGCGCCCGCCGAAGGGGACGCCCGAUCAACGCCGCACGGCGUGACGGGCCAAGCUCUCAGGCACCGUGACAGAU
rnacentral:ncRNA from 2 species